rnacentral:piRNA from 3 species
UUUCUUGAAAGCAGUGUCUACAUCCA